GAUGAACGCUAGCGGCAGGCUUAACACAUGCAAGUCGAGGGGCAUCGCGGGGUAGCAAUACUCUGGCGGCGACCGGCGAAAGGGUGAGUAACGCGUGAGCAACAUUCCGCUUUCAGGGGGAUAGUCAUUGGAAACGAUGCGUAAUACCCCGUAUGACUUAUGCAGGCAUCUGCGUAAGUUGAAAGAUUUAUCGGGAGGCGAUUGGCUCGCGUGCCAUUAGGUAGACGGCGGGGUAACGGCCCACCGUGCCGACGAUGGCUAGGGGUUCUGAGAGGAAGGUCCCCCACAUUGGAACUGAGACACGGUCCAGACUCC
rnacentral:rRNA from 1 species